rnacentral:rRNA from 1 species
UACGUAGGGUGCGAGCGUUAAUCGGAAUUACUGGGCGUAAAGCGUGCGCAGGCGGUUCGUUGUGUCGGCGGUGAAAGCCCCGGGCUUAACCUGGGAAUGGCAUUGGAAACUGGCUCGCUGGAGUGUGGCAGAGGGGGGUGGAAUUCCGCGUGUAGCAGUGAAAUGCGUAGAGAUGCGGAGGAACACCGAUGGCGAAGGCAGCCCCCUGGGCUAACACUGACGCUCAGGCACGAAAGGCGUGGGGAGCAAACAGG